rnacentral:rRNA from 1 species
CCUAGGGAGGCUGCAGUGAGGAAUAUUGGUCAAUGGGCGGAAGCCUGAACCAGCCAAGUAGCGUGCAGGAUGACGGCCCUACGGGUUGUAAACUGCUUUUAUACGGGAAUAACGCGCCUUACGUGUAGGGCUUUGCAUGUACCGUAUGAAUAAGGACCGGCUAAUUCCGUACCAGCAGCCGCGGUAAUACGGAAGGUCCUGGCGUUAUCCGGAUUUCAUGGGUUUAAGGGGACCGUAGGCAGCUUGUCAAGUGUGCUGUGAAAGGCCCGGGCUCAACCCGGGCCGUGCAGCGUGAACUGGCGUGCUAGAGUCCGCGGAAGGCAGGCGGAAUUCGUCGUGUAGCGGUGAAAUGCUUAGAUAUGACGAAGAACCCCGAUUGCGAAGGCAGCUUGCUGGAGCGGAACUGACGCUGAUGCUCGAAAGCGCGGGUAUCGAACAGGAUUAGAUACCCCAGUAGUC